UGGGGAAUAUUGGACAAUGGGCGCAAGCCUGAUCCAGCAACGCCGCGUGGAGGAAGAAGGCCUUCGGGUCGUAAACUCCUGUCAGUUGGGACGAAAAGCCGUCGGUAAAUACCCGGCGGUUAUGACGGUACCAGCAGAGGAAGCCCCGGCUAACUCCGUGCCAGCAGCCGCGGUAAUACGGAGGGAGCUAGCGUUAUUCGGAAUUAUUGGGCGUAAAGGGCACGUAGGCGGCUUGGCAAGUCAAAGGUGAAAUCCCUCGGCUCAACCGAGGAACUGCCUUUGAAACUGCCUCGCUAGAGGCUGGGAGGGGGUAGCGGAAUUCCCGGUGUAGCGGUGGAAUGCGUAGAUAUCGGGAGGAACACCAGUGGCGAAGGCGGCUACCUGGACCAGUUCUGACGCUGAUGUGCGAAAGCGUGGGGAGCAAACAGGAUUAGAUACCCUGGUAGUCCACGCCGUAAACGAUGGAUACUAGCUGUUCGACUUCGGUUGAGUGGCUAAGCGAAAGUGAUAAGUAUCCCACCUGGGGAGUACGUUCGCAAGAAUGAAACUCAAAGGAAUUGACGG
rnacentral:rRNA from 1 species